rnacentral:rRNA from 1 species
UACGGGGGGGGCAAGCGUUGUUCGGAAUUACUGGGCGUAAAGAGUGUGUAGGCGGUGCUCUAAGUCUGUCGUGAAAUCUCCCGGCUUAACUGGGAGGGUGCGGCGGAUACUAUUGUGCUAGAGGGUGGGAGAGGUAAGCGGAAUUCCUGGUGUAGCGGUGAAAUGCGUAGAUAUCAGGAGGAACACCUGCGGUGUAGACAGCUUACUGGACCACUUCUGACGCUGAGACACGAAAGCGUGGGUAGCAAACAGG